ensembl:lncRNA
GAAAAAACAGAAAGGUGCUUGGUAUAAAUCUGGAGUAAAUAUGCCGGUUGAUAAGCAAUCUGAAUGCCUGCUGAGGACUAAAGUUAUUAUUAAACAUCUGAAAGUAAAGAAAAAUUUACAUACAGAUUUGAAUUCCACACAACUGGAUGGGGAAGAUUUGUGCCUUCACUCAAGCCCACAUUCUUAAACUUGCUGGUGGUAACUGCAGUGGAACAAGGGAUGUGCUUCAAGGUGAAAAUGUAUCAGACAGAAUUCCUUUUGAAAGCUUGAGUUUUGCAGUUUAACUUUGAGUAAACAAUUUGUCAGUGUCUAAUUAUUGUGGAUCUAUUUGCCUUGGUGCAUACUGG